rnacentral:sRNA from 1 species
ACCUGCGGAAGGAUCAUUACAGAGUUCAUGCCGUCACGGGUAGAUCUCCCACCCUUGUGUAUUAUAACAAAAUGUUGCCUUGGCGGGCCGCGGCCCUGCCGCCUGGGGUUUGCCCCCGGCGUGCCCGCCAACGGACCCCUAAACUCUGUUUAUCGGUGUCGUCUGAGUACUAUAUAAUAAGUUAAAACUUUCAACAACGGAUCUCUUGGUUCUGGCAUCGAUGAAGAACGCAGCGAAAUGCGAUAAGUAAUGUGAAUUGCAGAAUUCAGUGAAUCAUCGAAUCUUUGAACGCACAUUGCGCCCCUUGGUAUUCCGAGGGGCAUGCCUGUUCGAGCGUCAUUAUGACCAAUCUAGCCUGGCUAGGUGUUGGGCCUCGCGGUUCCGCGGGCCUUAAAACCAGUGGCGGUGCCCUCUGGCUCUACGCGUAGUAACUUUUCUCGCUAUGGAGCCCCGAGGGAUGCUUGCCAGCAACCUUUAUUUUUUAGGUUGACCUCGGAU